AAACCCUAGUUUGCCAUGAAUUCUUUGGGGCGACACCACUCAUAUUAGAUAUUAAAGAAACCCUAGAAAAAUAAAAUCUUGGAAAAAAAUAUACAAAUUAGGAAAGCAAAGAAGAGGAGGCUCAGAUUAACCAAUCUCUGCAACUAAAUCGAAACGGCUGCAAACGGUUGCCUUCAGAAGAACAACAGAAGACCAUCCAAGAUUGCCUCGCCGUUCAGAAACAGCCAUCUUCCCACUCGACAAUGUAGCAAAACCUUCAUCCAAGAAUCAUCACAGCCUCCUCAUAUAAGACCGAAUACCAAGAAGAAGAGCAAAAGCCGAAGAGACGAAAGAAAAGAAGAAAGAGGGAAAGACGCAUAACUUCAUGGCCAUUAUCCACCAAGACGAAGAAGAAGAAGACGAGCAGCCAACAUGAGAAAGAAAACCAGAUGGAGACCCAGGGUUCGAAGGCUCAGAGGGGAUUCUUGAUUCGAUGUGACGGAAAGAUCGCUCCUUCCCUUCUUCUUCUCUUUCUUCCUCGAUGACCCACCCACCAAGCAAUGGCUGCAGGUCGGUUGUCUGCGGAACAGCAGACCUUCCAGAGCUGCCUCGCCUAUCGCUAGAGAAGAAUACAUGCACGCAAAGAAGAGGAGAAGAAGAAGAACCUUAGGGCUCGUUUGGCUCGCGGAAAAAGGUUGGGAGGAAAGUGUGGUCGAUGGAAACAAGAUGCCAUUGGAGUUUUCAAUGAAAAAAAA
rnacentral:lncRNA from 1 species